GGGCGAUUAGCUCAGUUGGUUAGAGCGCACGAUUCACAUUCGUGAGGUCGGUGGUUCGAGCCCACUAUCGCCCACCA
rnacentral:tRNA from 1 species